UUCCCUAUUUAAACGUGAUCGUACGGUCAAGAUCAAAUCGCAAUGAACAGUCUAUAUUUAUUUCUUCUUUAAACGCGAUGGGACGGUAAAGAUCAAACAUGAUGAACGGUCCAGAUUUAAGGGAGACGAGUAUAAAUAUCUAACAUCACAUUGAACCCAAACCCUAGUCACUAGCCUUCUGUCGGAGAAGAAGAACCAUUCGUCGGAGAAGGGAGUCGACCGUUGCUCGUUGCCGCACCGAAGCCACCUCCGAUUGCCAAAAAAUGUAAAAA
rnacentral:lncRNA from 1 species